rnacentral:rRNA from 1 species
CCUACGGGAGGCAGCAGUGGGGAAUAUUGCACAAUGGGGGAAACCCUGAUGCAGCGACGCCGCGUGAGUGAAGAAGUAAUUCGUUAUGUAAAGCUCUAUCAGCAGGGACGAAAAUGACGGUACCUGAGUAAGAAGCCCCGGCUAACUACGUGCCAGCAGCCGCGGUCAUACGUAGGGGGCAAGCGUUCUCCGGAUUUACUGGGUGUAAAGGGAGCGUAGACGGCAGUGCAAGUCUGGAGUGAAAGUCGGGGGCUCAACCCCCGGACUGCUCUGGAAACUGUACGGCUGGAGUGCAGGAGAGGUAAGUGGAAUUCCUAGUGUAGCGGUGAAAUGCGUAGAUAUUAGGAGGAAAACCAGUGGCGAAGGCGGCUUACUGGACUGUAACUGACGUUGAGGCUCGAAAGCGUGGGGAGCAAACAGGAUUAGAUACCCUUGUAGUC